AGCAGCCGCGGUAAUUCCAGCUCCAAUAGCGUAUAUUAAAGUUGUUGCAGUUAAAAAGCUCGUAGUUGAAUUUCGGGGUUCUACCGUUGGUCGGGCAAUAGUCUGUACUGGCGUGUAGAAUUUCUACCUUCUGGGGAACCAUCAUGUUAUUAAUUUAGCGUGGUGGGAAACCAGGACCUUUACCUUGAAAAAAUUAGAGUGUUCAAAGCAGGCUUACGUCUGAAUACAUUAGCAUGGAAUAAUAAAAUAGGAUGGUGGUCCUGUUUUGUUGGUUUCUGAAUCACCGUAAUGAUUAAUAGGGAUAGUUGGGGGCAUUAGUAUUCAAUUGUUAGAGGUGAAAUUCUUGGAUUUAUUGAAGACUAACUUCUGCGAAAGCAUUUGCCAAGGAUGUUUUCAUUAAUCAAGAACGAAAGUUAGGGGAUCGAAGACGAUCAGAUACCGUCGUAGUCUUAACCAUAAACUAUGCCGACUAGGGAUCGGACGAUGUUAAUUUUUCUUGACUCG
rnacentral:rRNA from 1 species